rnacentral:lncRNA from 1 species
GAAAGAUAAGGUGCAGUCCCCUCAGUGUCAUGGAGCAGCAGGAAUUUCAUUAUUGUUAUUGAAGCACUACUUCCUUGAAAACAUCCAAUUUUAUUUGCCUUUUGAUGAGUCCAUUGUCCUAAGAGAAUGGAUGAAGCAUCCAGCACAGGAAAUAUUACACCAGCUCCAGCUGCCAACUCCAUCAGCCUGACUCCUUCACUAAUACCACAUUUCAAGGUCAACCAUGCAUCUGACACCUUCAUGGGCUCCAGUGGAGCUGCAUUUCUUGUUCCAAGGGUGAAGCUGAGGCCUUUUCACGCCAAGCAGCAGAAGAUGGUGGUUGUUACAAGGACCUUGAAUAAUGGGCAAGGCAGCAGAUGGACACAGGCAGAUGGGAAGCAGCAUAACAAGGCAAAUACGGUUUUCAAUGGGCUUGAUUGAAAAUUCUGGAAGAAAAACCUAGCCGGGGCCUACAAUUACUCUUGUAACAAACACCAAGUUUAAUGAAAGAGAUGCAAUGGCUUAUGACACAAGAAAGAAAGCUUGCACAUGGUUGAAAACAACAUAUGUACAGUUUGCAUAAUAAAUAUGCCUAAAACAGAGCUAUUUUCA